GAAGAAAUAGUUUAAAAAAAAAUGUCUUAUUUACGCUAAGAGGAUUUCUUUAUGAGUUUCUUUU
rnacentral:tRNA from 1 species